rnacentral:rRNA from 1 species
GAUGAACGCUAGCUACAGGCUUAACACAUGCAAGUCGAGGGGCAGCACGGAGAUAGCUUGCUAUCUUGGGUGGCGACCGGCGCACGGGUGAGUAACGCGUAUCCAACCUGCCCAUUACUCUGGGAUAGCCUUGCGAAAGUACGAUUACUACCGGAUGUUGUUAAAAACCCGCAUGAGCUUUUAACCAAAGAUUUAUUGGUAUUGGAUGGGGAUACGUGACAUUAGGUGGUUGGUGAGGUAAUGGCUCACCAAGCCGACUAUGUCUAGGGGUUCUGAGAGGAAGGUCCCCCACACAGGAACUGAGACACGGUCCAGACUCCUACGGGAGGCAGCAGUGAGGAAUAUUGGUCAAUGGACGAGAGUCUGAACCAGCCAAGUAGCGUGCAGGAUGACGGCCCUCUGGGUUGUAAACUGCUUUUAGUUGGGAAUAAAAAGAGGGACGUGUCCCUAAUUGUAUGUACCAUCAGAAAAAGGACCGGCUAAUUUCGUGCCAGCAGCCGCGGUAAGAC